CCUACGGGUGGCUGCAGUGAGGAAUAUUGGUCAAUGGCCGGAAGGCUGAACCAGCCAAGCCGCGUGAAGGACGAAGGUGCCAAGCAUUGUAAACUUCUUUUGUCAAGGGACAAAAUCAGGCUCGAGAGCCUGACCGAGGGGACUUGAAGAAAAAGCAUCGGCUAACUCGGUGCCAGCAGCCGCGGUAAUACGGGGGAUGCGAGCGUUAUCCGGAUUUAUUGGGUUUAAAGGGUUCGUAGGCGGACUGUUAAGUCAGCGGUAAAAGCCCGGGGCUCAACCCCGGCGAGCCGUUGAAACUGGCUGACGUGAGAUGUCGAGAGGUAUGCGGAAUGCGCAGUGUAGCGGUGAAAUGCUUAGAUAUUGCGCAGAACUCCGAUUGCGAAGGCAGCAUACCGGCGCUCAACUGACGCUCAUGCACGAAAGCGUGGGUAUCGAACAGGAUUAGAUACCCCAGUAGUC
rnacentral:rRNA from 1 species